rnacentral:lncRNA from 1 species
UGUUAUAUAUCAGCCUAUACACACAAUAUGCCAUUAAAUUACCCCCACAUUUACAUUCACUGUGUGGGAAGGCUAAUUCCAGUAUCCAGGCAAAAAACGUAAACCAUUAUACAUUGCAUGAUAUUUAAUGUAACAGACUAUGUGUAAAAUAACAUCUUCAACUCUUCUCUUUGCAUUCAUGCUCAACUUCAAGUUACAUGGACAGUAUUAAUUGUGUACCUGGUUGGGAAGACAAAAGAAGAAGGAAAAUGAUCAGCUGAGUAGUACACAACAAACACAACAGCAGCAGAUAAACAGCAACAACCCAGCAACAAACAACCAGCCACAAUGAUGAAGUUCACCAGUGGUCGAGCAACAAACAAGCAGUCCCAGAAACAGAAUGAUGAAACAACCAGAAAGCCAGAGUACUCAAUGUAAUAGCACCAAGCAGUUCGACAAACACAAACAGCUCGGCAAAUAACCCACAAACAAUUAGCAAAGACAGCUUGGCCAACUUGAACUCCUAAGCAGUUUUCAGACAGUGUUUGGUUACAAUAUUCUGAAAAUUUCUUUUGUUUCUUUCUUUUUCUGAAGACUAAAAAUGUCCAACCCCCUUCUUCACUAAAAAACAACUCUAUUUAUAACUGAAUGAGAAACCCUAAGGGCUGCCUAGAACUUCACAGCCUCAGUGACUGCCCAUCCCCUUCAUUUCCCAUGCAUAAGCAUCUUCUUGAUGCAAGUCAUUUUGUUCCCACGCCUGGCCUAUUGCCCUAUUCAAUAGUCAUGGGUUCAUUUAAGUAUUAAACUCCCAUGCUCUUAUGUUUUGUCCCCACUAAUACAUUAGUUUAAUCCUAAUUCAGUACCCUAUUUGUCAGCCCACUUAAACUAAUUAUUUCUGUUUUUGUUAACACCCAAACUACCCUUGUUAACCCUGGUUAUUACUGUAUUAACUCAUUGCAACAGUAGGGCAUUUUUGAACUCCUGAAAGUUCAAAUUCAGAGCUGCCCUGGACUGAAUCUUUUCAGUUGUUUUGCAAUGCAAACAAACUAAUUUCAAACAAUGUCGGGCAUUCAGUCAAUUACAGGGUUCGAUCAGUCAUGUGAAGCUGUUAAUCCAUUUGAUCAUUCAGUCAUAGAAAAUUAAUCGACGACGUUUAUCAGGUCAACUAUACUAAUUAUAACCAGGUAUAACAAGUCGAUUAAAUAAACAACACGUACGGGAUCCUGAAUAACUUCAGACAACUUUGCACAAUAUUGGGAGGCCAUAUGAAUUAUUUAUGCGACGACUAAUCUAAUCGAACAUGUAUAUCACAGAAUGCAUUCAGACAUGCACAGAAAACAAUCGACCAAAUAAAAGGCCUUACAAAGACGGAAGAAAUUGGAAUGAAAGUACCAGAAAUACCAAACAAUCACAACAGAACAUGCUAACAAACUUAAUCAGUACUCAAAUAAAACAGAAAAGAAAAAGGAAAACUUACUAAAAAUGUUCAACCAAAGCCGACCCAGGUUUGAACUAGAUUUGACCAUUUGAGGCCGAACAAAAUUUAAUCGGGGUGUUCUCAACCGAGAACCCCUUGAUUAAAGUCUAUUAGACCUCAAACCCCUAUUAAAACUGGCCGGAUUCCCCAGGUUCUUGUGUUCUAGGGUUUGGAUCUUCAGAUUUGAGAUUCUAGGAGUUGUGGGUAGAUUUGGACCAAACCAGGCUUGGUUUGGUCACAAGGGUAGUCAGGGGACUGUCUAGUGUGAAUCUGGGGUGGUUUGGUGUAGAUCGAGUCUUGUCUCGAAUCUUCAAAUGAAGAUUCGAGAAGGUGGGGGAGGAUUCGAGCCAAGCUGUAAGUGGAUUUGGAUUCAGGGGGUUGAGGUGCCUCAGGGGUGUAAAGGGGGUGGUCACCGGCAUCCUUGCCGCCGGCUUUAAUGGUGAGGGAAAAGGGGGCGGCGUUAGGGUUUCGUGGGGUUCGGGGUUUGGUGAAGAAGACGAUUGAAGGGG